AGCGAACGCUGGCGGCAGGCUUAACACAUGCAAGUCGAGCGGGCACUUUCGGGUGUCAGCGGCAGACGGGUGAGUAACGCGUGGGAACGUGCCCUCUGGUUCGGAAUAACUCAGGGAAACUUGAGCUAAUACCGGAUACGCCCUUUUGGGGAAAGGCUUGCUGCCGGAGGAUCGGCCCGCGUCUGAUUAGCUAGUUGGUGAGGUAACGGCUCACCAAGGCGACGAUCAGUAGCUGGUCUGAGAGGAUGAUCAGCCACACUGGGACUGAGACACGGCCCAGACUCCUACGGGAGGCAGCAGUGGGGAAUAUUGGACAAUGGGCGCAAGCCUGAUCCGGCCAUGCCGCGUGAGUGAUGAAGGUCUUAGGGUUGUAAAGCUCUUUUAUCCGGGACGAUAAUGACGGUACCGGAGGAAUAAGCCCCGGCUAACUUCGUG
rnacentral:rRNA from 1 species